rnacentral:rRNA from 1 species
UACGUAGGGUGCGAGCGUUGUCCGGAAUUAUUGGGCGUAAAGAGCUCGUAGGCGGCUUGUCGCGUCUGCCGUGAAAGUCCGGGGCUCAACUCCGGAUCUGCGGUGGGUACGGGCAGACUAGAGUGAUGUAGGGGAGACUGGAAUUCCUGGUGUAGCGGUGAAAUGCGCAGAUAUCAGGAGGAACACCGAUGGCGAAGGCAGAUCUCUGGGCCGUAACUGACGCUGAGGAGCGAAAGCAUGGGGAGCGAACAGG